CUAAUGUUGAAAAAUUAGCGGAUGACUUGUGGCUGGGGGUGAAAGGCCAAUCAAACCGGGAGAUAGCUGGUUCUCCCCGAAAGCUAUUUAGGUAGCGCCUCGUGAAUUCAUCUUCGGGGGUAGAGCACUGUUUCGGCUAGGGGGUCAUCCCGACUUACCAACCCGAUGCAAACUACGAAUACCGAAGAAUGUUAUCACGGGAGACACACGGCGGGUGCUAACGUCCGUCGUGAAGAGGGAAACAACCCAGACCGCCAGCUAAGGUCCCAAAGUCAUGGUUAAGUGGGAAACGAUGUGGGAAGGCACAGACAGCCAGGAUGUUGGCUUAGAAGCAGCCAUCAUUUAAAGAAAGCGUAAUAGCUCACUGGUCGAGUCGGCCUGCGCGGAAGAUGUAACGGGGCUAAACCAUGCACCGAAGCUGCGGCAGCGACACUAUGUGUUGUUGGGUAGGGGAGCGUUCUGUAAGCCUGCGAAGGUGUGCUGUGAGGCAUGCUGGAGGUAUCAGAAGUGCGAAUGCUGACAUAAGUAACGAUAAAGCGGGUGAAAAGCCCGCUCGCCGGAAGACCA
rnacentral:rRNA from 2 species